AUGGCUUCUGUUUUCCACAUACAUAAAAUUUCCACGUGCAGUGUUGAUAACUUUGAGGAUUGUAUAGAUAAUGAAAACUGCGCUAGUUGCCACAGGUCUACCUUUAGUCAAGAUGAAAAAGAAAUCACCACUAAAGAAUAUAGAUGGGAACAGAGACAAACUUUAGUCCUAGUAGACUUGACUUUAUGUAACCCACAGUUUUUCUUUACUUUAUUUGCAGCUGAAGUUGAUCCUGGAAAGAGAAUCUUUAGGGAGAGAACAUUGUUUUCUUUCUCAGAACAUCGUGUCGGGCAGUGUCUCCAACUGCUGACAUUUUGGAAACCAAAGCCAAAAGCAAUACAUCAAAUCAGCAGCUCCAGGCAGAGGACUGUUUCAAACCAAAAUGAUGUUUUAAUCUUGAAUCAAGCAAUGACUGCACAGCCUGCAAGAGGCCUGUUUUGGACAUCAGUUGUUAAUAUGAUCAAGUGGUAUUAA
rnacentral:lncRNA from 1 species